rnacentral:snoRNA from 12 species
UGCCCAGUGAUGAGACCAUCCUUGCUCCCCAUGCUCCCCAGGGGGCUGUGGGUGACACUAUGGCUGCCCCCGGGCUGGGCCAGGUGGGCCAGAGCCCGGGGGCUGAGGGCA